rnacentral:rRNA from 1 species
GCAUAUCAAUAAGCGGAGGAAAAGAAACCAACAGGGAUUGCCCCAGUAACGGCGAAGUGAAGCGGCAACAGCUCAAAUUUGAAAUCUGGCCUUCGGGUCCCGAGUUGUAAUUUGGAGAGGAUGCUUUUGGCGCGGCGCCGUCCGAGUUCCUUGGAACAGGACGCCAUAGAGGGUGAGAGCCCCGUACGGGCGGCCGCCUAGCCUUUGUAAAGCUCCUUCGACGAGUCGAGUAGUUUGGGAAUGCUGCUCAAAAUGGGAGGUAAAUUUCUUCUAAAGCUAAAUACCGGCCAGAGACCGAUAGCGCACAAGUAGAGUGAUCGAAAGAUGAAAAGCACUUUGAAAAGAGGGUUAAAAAGUACGUGAAAUUGUUGAAAGGGAAGCGCCUGUGACCAGACUUGCGACCCGUGGAUCAUCCGGUGUUCUUCACCGGUGCACUCCGCGGGCUGCAGGCCAGCAUCGGUUUUCCUAGGGGGAUAAAGGUCGCAGGAACGUAGCUCUUUCGGGAGUGUUAUAGCCUGUGGCGUCAUGCCUCUGGGGAGACCGAGGACCGCGCUUCGGCAAGGAUGCUGGCGUAAUGGUCACCGGCGACCCGUCUUGAAACACGGACCAAGGAGUCAAGCAUUGGGGCGAGUGUCUGGGUGCCAAACCCGCACGCGAAAUGAAAGUAAACGCAGGUGAGAGCUUCGGCGCAUCACCGACCGAUCCUGAUGUCUUCGGAUGGAUUUGAGUAAGAGCCUUACCGCUUGGACCCGAAAGAUGGUGAACUAUGCCUGUAUAGGGUGAAGCCAGAGGAAACUCUGGUGGAGGCUCGCAGCGGUUCUGACGUGCAAAUCGAUCGUCAAAUAUGGGCAUGGGGGGCGAAAGACUAAUCGAACCAUCUAGUAGCUGGUUACCGCCGAAG